rnacentral:pre_miRNA from 1 species
AUUUUACUCCCUCCGUUCCAAAAUACUUGACUUCCAUUUGUCCAAAAAUGGAUGUACCUAUAUACUAAAACAUGUCUAGAUACAUCUAUAUUUUGACAAAUAGAAGGCAUGUAUUGUGGAACGGAGGGAGUAGGAG